rnacentral:rRNA from 1 species
CAGAGGGUGCGAGCGUUGUUCGGAAUUACUGGGCGUAAAGCGCGCGCAGGCGGCCUUUUAAGUCUGACGGUGAAAUGCCGGGGCUCAACCCCGUGCCCGCCGCGGAUACUGGGAGGCUGGAGACGAGUAGAGGCAAGCGGAAUUCCGGGUGUAGCGGUGGAAUGCGUAGAGAUCCGGAAGAACACCGGAGGCGAAGGCGGCUUGCUGGGCUCGGUCUGACGCUGAGGCGCGAAAGGCGUGGGGAGCGAACAGGAUUAGAUACCCUGGUAGUCCACGCCGUAAACGAUGGGCACUAGACGCUGGUGGGAUCGACCCCUUCAGUGUCGCAGCUAACGCGAUAAGUGCCCCGCCUGGGGAGUACGGCCGCAAGGCUG